rnacentral:rRNA from 1 species
CCUACGGGUGGCAGCAGUGAGGAAUAUUGGUCAAUGGGCGCGAGCCUGAACCAGCCAAGCCGCGUGAAGGAAGACGGUACUACGGGUUGUAAACUUCUUUUGUAAGGGAAUAAAGUCAGGCACGAGUGCCUGGUUGAAUGUACCUUAAGAAUAAGCAUCGGCUAACUCCGUGCCAGCAGCCGCGGUAAUACGGAGGAUCCGAGCGUUAUCCGGAUUUAUUGGGGUUAAAGGGUGCGUAGAUGGGUGGUUAAAUCAGUUGUGAAAGUUCGCGGCUCAACCGCGCAAGUGCAAUGGAUACUGGCCGCCUGGAGAUGAGUUGAGGUAGGCGGAAUGCGUGGUGUAGCGGUGAAAUGCUUAGAUAUC